rnacentral:tRNA from 1 species
UAUGCUUUAGUAUAUAUGUAUAAAAAUUUUUGAUAUUUUAGGAGAUAGAUAGUAUCUAUUAAGUAUAG